rnacentral:rRNA from 1 species
UUAAGUUAUUAAGGGCGCACGGUGGAUGCCUUGGCACUAGAAGCCGAUGAAGGACGUUACUAACGACGAUAUGCUUUGGGUAGCUGUAAGUAAGCGUUGAUCCAGAGAUUUCCGAAUGGGGGAACCCAGCAUGAGUUAUGUCAUGUUAUCGAUAUGUGAAUUUAUAGCAUGUCAGAAGGCAGACCCGGAGAACUGAAACAUCUUAGUACCCGGAGGAAGAGAAAGAAAAAUCGAUUCCCUGAGUAGCGGCGAGCGAAACGGGAAGAGCCCAAACCAACAAGCUUGCUUGUUGGGGUUGUAGGACACUCUAUACGGAGUUACAAAAGAACAUGUUAGACGAAUCAUCUGGAAAGAUGAAUCAAAGAAGGUAAUAAUCCUGUAGUCGAAAACAUAUUCUCUCUUGAGUGGAUCCUGAGUACGACGGAGCACGUGAAAUUCCGUCGGAAUCUGGGAGGACCAUCUCCUAAGGCUAAAUACUCUCUAGUGACCGAUAGUGAACCAGUACCGUGAGGGAAAGGUGAAAAGUACCCCGGAAGGGGAGUGAAAGAGAACUUGAAACCGUGUGCUUACAAGUAGUCAGAGCCCGUUAAUGGGUGAUGGCGUGCCUUUUGUAGAAUGAACCGGCGAGUUACGAUCUGAUGCAAGGUUAAGCAGCAAAUGUGGAGCCGCAGCGAAAGCGAGUCUGAAUAGGGCGUUGAGUAUUUGGUCGUAGACCCGAAACCAGGUGAUCUACCCUUGGUCAGGUUGAAGUUCAGGUAACACUGAAUGGAGGACCGAACCGACUUACGUUGAAAAGUGAGCGGAUGAACUGAGGGUAGCGGAGAAAUUCCAAUCGAACUUGGAGAUAGCUGGUUCUCUCCGAAAUAGCUUUAGGGCUAGCCUCAAGUGAUGAUUAUUGGAGGUAGAGCACUGUUUGGACGAGGGGCCCCUCUCGGGUUACCGAAUUCAGACAAACUCCGAAUGCCAAUUAAUUUAACUUGGGAGUCAGAACAUGGGUGAUAAGGUCCGUGUUCGAAAGGGAAACAGCCCAGACCACCAGCUAAGGUCCCAAAAUAUAUGUUAAGUGGAAAAGGAUGUGGCGUUGCCCAGACAACUAGGAUGUUGGCUUAGAAGCAGCCAUCAUUUAAAGAGUGCGUAAUAGCUCACUAGUCGAGUGACCCUGCGCCGAAAAUGUACCGGGGCUAAACAUAUUACCGAAGCUGUGGAUUGUCCUUUGGACAAUGGUAGGAGAGCGUUCUAAGGGCGUCGAAGCAUGAUCGCAAGGACAUGUGGAGCGCUUAGAAGUGAGAAUGCCGGUGUGAGUAGCGAAAGACGGGUGAGAAUCCCGUCCACCGAUUGACUAAGGUUUCCAGAGGAAGGCUCGUCCGCUCUGGGUUAGUCGGGUCCUAAGCUGAGGCCGACAGGCGUAGGCGAUGGAUAACAGGUUGAUAUUCCUGUACCACCUAGUAUCGUUUUAAUCGAUGGGGGACGCAGUAGGAUAGGCGAAGCGUGCUGUUGGAGUGCACGUCCAAGCAGUAAGGCUGAGUGUUAGGCAAAUCCGGCACUCAUAAGGCUGAGCUGUGAUGGGGAGAGGAAAUUGUUUCCUCGAGUCGUUGAUUUCACACUGCCGAGAAAAGCCUCUAGAUAGAUAACAGGUGCCCGUACCGCAAACCGACACAGGUAGUCAAGAUGAGAAUUCUAAGGUGAGCGAGCGAACUCUCGUUAAGGAACUCGGCAAAAUGACCCCGUAACUUCGGGAGAAGGGGUGCUCUUUAGGGUUCACGCCCAGAAGAGCCGCAGUGAAUAGGCCCAAGCGACUGUUUAUCAAAAACACAGGUCUCUGCUAAACCGUAAGGUGAUGUAUAGGGGCUGACGCCUGCCCGGUGCUGGAAGGUUAAGAGGAGUGGUUAGCUUCUGCGAAGCUACGAAUCGAAGCCCCAGUAAACGGCGGCCGUAACUAUAACGGUCCUAAGGUAGCGAAAUUCCUUGUCGGGUAAGUUCCGACCUGC